rnacentral:rRNA from 1 species
UUAACACAUGCAAGUCGAGGGGCAGCACAGGUAGCAAUACCGGGUGGCGACCGGCGCACGGGUGAGUAACGCGUAUGCAACUUGCCUAUCAGAGGGGGAUAACCCGGCGAAAGUCGGACUAAUACCGCAUGAUACAGUGAUCAAAGGAGCAAUCCGCUGAAAGAUGGGCUCGCGUCCGAUUAGAUAGUUGGCGGGGUAACGGCCCACCUAGUCUUCGAUGGAUAGGGGUUCUGAGAGGAAGGUCCCCACAUUGGAACUGAGACACGGUCCAAACUCC